GUGCUCGCUUCGGCAGCACAUAUACUAAAAUUGGAAUGAUACAGAGAUCAGCAUGGCCCCUGAGCAAGGAUGACACGCAAAUCUUAGACACCUUCCCACCAUCC